rnacentral:rRNA from 1 species
CCUACGAGCGGCAGCAGUGAGGAAUAUUGGUCAAUGGACGAGAGUCUGAACCAGCCAAGUAGCGUGAAGGAUGACUGCCCUAUGGGUUGUAAACUUCUUUUAUAAAGGAAUAAAACGAGGCACGUGUGCCGUGUUGCAUGUACUGUACGAAUAAGGAUCGGCUAACUCCGUGCCAGCAGCCGCGGUAAUACGGAGGAUCCGAGCGUUAUCCGGAUUUAGUGGGUUUAAAGGGAGCGUAGAUGGGUUGUUAAGUCAGUUGUGAAAGUUUGCGGCUCAACCGUAAAAUUGCAAUUGAUACUGGCAGUCUUGAGUACAGUUGAGGUAGGCGGAAUUCGUGGUGUAGCGGUGAAAUGCUUAGAGAUCACGAAGAACCCCGAUUGCGAAGGCAGCUUACUAAACUGUGACUGACAUUGAUGCUCGAAAGUGUGGGUAUCAAACAGGAUUAGAUACCCUAGUAGUC